GAUUCAUUGGGAACACAAACAGUACAAAACAGUAUGUUUGCAAAAAAAAACUUAGAUUUGGGUGCAUUAUUUUAGGGUUUAUUCAUUCUUUGAAGGUGGCGCUAGAUACAGGCUGAGCGCCUAUGGAGAUGGCUCAGGGGCUGAGUUGUGGAGCGAACCAGAGGGGGCUCUUCAGUGCAGUGCAGUUACGAGAUUUGGAAAUUGGAGAGGCUAUAGUGGAGUUCUUGGAAAUCCAUCCAAUGCGAAGAUUGACAAUAUCAUAAAUCACCAACUUAUCCUGCAUUGAAAUGGCUAAAAACAAGAAGAUGAUGAAGAACAACAUUAAGUCAGAGUUCGAUUCAGAGAUUUCCUUUUUCUGGUUUCUUUCAUUGUUAGAAUCUCUUACCCCCGAUCACAUUGGCAUUUCUCAAGUCUAUUUGGUUCCCAUUUAAGAUCCCUAAGCAUAUUUUUUCCUGCAGUGAAAGAUGUUGGGGAUUAUUGAUGGAAAGUAGCUUGAUAGUAUGAGUUUGUGCUGAAAUCAAUAGCUUCUGAAAAAUAUUAGCACUUACUUUGACGAGUAUAAGAUAACCUUGGUAAGCAUAUUGGAAGGUCGUCCUCUGGUUGUGUUCGCGUCAAUGGAGUUCCUUUCAGAGCUCGGCGAAUCUAAAAGAUGAAUAUAAGUAAAUCUCAAAUGGGUUUCAAGAUCAAAAU